rnacentral:rRNA from 1 species
GAUGAACGCUGGCGGCGUGCCUAAUACAUGCAAGUCGAGCGAACGGACGAGAAGCUUGCUUCUCUGAUGUUAGCGGCGGACGGGUGAGUAACACGUGGAUCACCUACCUAUAAGACUGGGAUAACUUCGGGAAACCGGAGCUAAUACCGGAUAAUAUUUUGAACCGCAUGGUUCAUAAGUGAAAGACGGUCUUGCUGUCACUCAUAGAUGGUACCGGGCUGCUUUAGCUAGUUGGUAAGGUAACGGCUUACCUAGGCAACGAUGCGUAGCCGACCUGAGAGGGUGAUCAGCGACACUGGAGGUUGGACACGGUCCAGACGCCUACGGGAGGCAGCAGUAGGGAAUCUGCCGCAAUGGUCGAGAGCCUUACGGAGCAACGCCGCGUGAGUGAUGAAGGUCUUCGGAUCGGAAAGCUCUGUUAUUAGUGAAGAACAUAUGUGUAAGUAACUGUGCACAUCUUGACGGUACCUAAUCAAAAAGCCACGGCUAACUACGUG